AGGGCUUGUAGUUUAUUUUUAGAAUAGUCGGCUUCGGAUCGAACGGUGGGAAAAUUAUCCUCAGGUCUU
rnacentral:tRNA from 1 species